UACGGGGGGGGCAAGCGUUGUUCGGAAUUACUGGGCGUAAAGGGCUCGUAGGUGGCCAACUAAGUCAGACGUGAAAUCCCCAGGCUCAACUUGGGAACUGCGUCUGAUACUGGAUGGCUUGAAUGUGGAAGAGGGCAGUAGAAUUCCAGGUGUAGUGGUGAAAUACGUAGAUAUCUGGAGGAAUACCGGUGGCGAAGGCGGCUGCCUGGUCCUACAUUGACGCUGAGAUACGAAAGCGUGGGGAGCAAACAGG
rnacentral:rRNA from 1 species